CCUUGUUGUCGGGGCAACCGCUGGAAGGACGCGGGCAGGCCACUGUGGGGGCUUGGCGGGUGGACUGUCCUCGUAGUCUGCUUGCCAGGCCUGACUCCUCUUCCUGCCCUCUCAAUGUGCACAAAGCCUGCUAGACAGAUACUUCCUGGGCUCCUGCAGAGAACACAGCCCCUCUCCUUGAUAGAAGAUGCCUGAAGGAGCUGAGCCUUCUUGGAGUUCACAGCAGAGCUCGUGCGCCUAUGGGAAUCUAACAUCCCCCGAUCCGCCUGGAGGAGCAGCUCAGGUGGUGACAUGAGAGGCGGAGAAAGGCCAAAUCUUGGGAUGUAUCCCAAGUUCUUCCUUCCAGAGUCAGAACACAGCCAUCAUUGGGAACAGAAUCACUCUGAACCCCGCCACCUCUGAAUCCACGUCCCCAGAGAGCAGCCAGCUUUGCCUGUGAACUGUGGCUUCCCUCCAGCUGUUCUCCUCACAUCCUGAGGCAUAUCAUGGACUGGAAAUGAAUCUAACCUGGUAGAUUUGGCUGAGAAUUUGC